CCCUUAGAUGUUCUGGGCUGCACGCGUGCUACACUGAUAUUGCCAAUAUGUCAUUCUUAUCCGAAAUGGAUUGGGUAAUCAAGUAAUGAAAUUUCAUGCUUGGAAUCGGUAAUUGCAAUUUUAUCGUGAACGAGGAAUUCCUAGUAAGCACUAGUCAUCAGCUAAUGUUGAUUAUGUCCCUGCCCUUUGUACACACCGCCCGUCGCUACUACUGAUUGGGUAUUCAAGUGAGAUGCUUAGACCCUUGUUGCAUGGUUCAUUAUUGUGCUCCGAAAGGAAAAAGUUUCAAGCUUGAGUGUCUAGAGGAAGUAAAAGUCGUAACA
rnacentral:rRNA from 1 species